rnacentral:rRNA from 1 species
UACGUAGGGCGCAAGCGUUGUCCGGAAUUAUUGGGCGUAAAGAGCUCGUAGGCGGCCUGUUGCGUCCGCUGUGAAAUCCCGGGGCUUAACCCCGGGCUUGCAGUGGAUACGGGCAGGCUGGAGGCAGGCAGGGGAGAACGGAAUUCCCGGUGUAGCGGUGAAAUGCGCAGAUAUCGGGAGGAACACCGGUGGCGAAGGCGGUUCUCUGGAUCGUUGCUGACGCUGAUACGCGAAAGCGUGGGGAGCAAACAGG